UACGUAGGGGGCAAGCGUUGUCCGGAUUUAUUGGGCGUAAAGAGCGUGUAGGCGGCCUGGAAGGUCAGCUGUGAAAACUCGAGGCUCAACCUCGAGACGUCGGUUGAAACCACCUGGCUAGAGUCCGGAAGAGGAGAGUGGAAUUCCCGGUGUAGCGGUGAAAUGCGCAGAUAUCGGGAAGAACACCCGUGGCGAAGGCGGCCUGCUGGGCAGUGGCUGACGCUGAGGCGCGACAGCGUGGGGAGCAAACAGG
rnacentral:rRNA from 1 species